GCUCAGUGGGGUCUUGAUGAGAGAUUCUGGUCCCUGUGCAUCAGUGCAUGAUCAUCCGGAUCGCUUUCCAUCGCCCGGAACCGCAGGUGGCCAAGUGGGUGAGUACAGGGGAAAGGCAGAGCAGCCGUCUCUGACUUGGCAUGAUUGACUAGUAGGGAGUUACACAAAAGGAGAGAAUUGAUUUCUAGGUUGGUUCCAUUAGAAAAAAUGAAACUUUCUGCAAUUUCUCUGUGUGCAUCUCCCUCCCCUCCCCUUCCAAAUAACUUUUGAACCCUUUGGUCAGUUUUAAGCCUGUUGGAUCAAGAGGUUACGCUACAGAAAGUUAAUUGAGAUGAGUGGUUGGUAAGAGGAGAGAGUCACCAUGAGCGUCCUGUUGAAGAGGAGCCUGCGGCUUGGCACCAGCGAAUUCAUAUGGAAGAGCGACGUGAAUGCUCCAGGUAGAUGAAAAGUAGCCGCUGGACAUCAAGCGAAACCCAAAGCCACAAAAUUAUGCGAACACUAGCAACACUGCUGUGUUUCCUGGAAACGGGUAUAUGAAGUACCUCUAACAUUACUGCAGUUAAUGACUUUGAAAAACAAGUUUGAGAAGCAGUUAGAAAAACCUUAGCACUGAAAGAGAAUGCCACGAGUAAUGGGGAAAAAGAGAACAGCUAUCAACACACUACUGUGUGCCCACCGAUGCAGAUUUGAGCAUGGGAGGUACAGGACUUAUAAGAAAGAAGAUGAAACUGCAAAGCUUGAUCUUACUAUUUUUAACAGCAAGUUAC